UUUUUUUGAGUUUUCCCUAAAUUGACUUAUCGCUAUGGUUGCCAAAUAUAGAAAUUGAGAGUCAAACUUUCCCAAACAAGCACAGAUCAGGUAGAUAUAAAAUACUAUACUGGCUUUGUUUGCUUAAAUUAUUUGGAUCAUCCUACUUCUUAUUUUCUUAUCACAUUUAACUAAAUCAAGUUCAUUUUUUUUCAAAACAGGUUUUAUCAGCUGCCAUUCUUUAAUAUUACAAGAACUUGAGAUCUCCUUUUGUGCUAAACAUGGUCUUUUAUGCCUCACUUAGUUACUUGUGAAGGUAUUUGAGAAAUACUGGUAUGUAAAACAAGCUGGAAAAGAACAGGUGCCAGGAGAAGAUAGGCUAUCAUUACAAGUAAGGAUGGAUAAGUUUAAGUCCAUACUCUAAACAGUCCCAUGAUAAGGCCAGAAUUAUAAUUGAAAUGAGUAAUUGGCAUUUCCCCUGAACAGCAAAUGCUUUUAUGCAGAUGUUAAAAGAACUGCUAAAAGAAUAUUUGUAUUCUCUGAAGUUGAGCAUAAGGCGAACUCCCCUUGCAGCAGUGCCCUGUUAAGAAAAUCCAGUUGUGCAUUUAUUUCAAGAAUACUGUUCCACAAAAGCAUUGCAAACAUUCUCCAGCUACUGGAAUUGGCUAUGCCAAAAAUUGUGUGUUUUGCUGCUUUCAGUAUUUCCUUUCUCAGUUUUGUGUAAAUAUAAAUGGGGACUUGAAACUGGGGGGAGGGGGAGGCGGUGGGGGGGUGGAAAAGCUCUACGAGGUAUAUAUACGUGCUGUUUUAUGUCUUGAGGGUUUUGGUACAGUUUCAGAUUGAUUAGUUCAAGUAUGCUGUGUUUGGAGAGAACUGACUUGCUUUUCAUCCCAGGACAGACUUGUUGUUCAAAAAAGUCUGAGACUGGGUAGUGGCAUAAUGCCGUGGUGUUUUAAAGAAUAUUCCUUUUGAAUGCAAGAUCUUUUCAACAAAAUAGUGUUGUCAUCAGUUUGGUACUACAUGCUUAUAAUUACUGUGUAAUUAUAAAGAAAUACAUAAAACUUUGACUAAUUAUGUUGCAGAAAAGGGUUAUUUUAACAAGUGACUGAAGUUGAAAGAAACAUUGAUUUAACAGGGUGUUGUUCUAAGGACAAAAUGCCUGGUUACAGAUAAUAUUUUGCAUUGAAAUGUGCUCAAUGUGGCCAUGUGUUGUUGUUUUUUUUUUUUUUUUCCUUCUAUAUUUGUGUGUUUUUUUUCUUGUUUUUUAAGAAUUCAGCCAGUUACUUACUUGGAUUGCUUUAAUUCGUAAGUGCUUAUGUCUUCAAUUUGAUGAUCUCCCCUUAAAGGAAUCAAUUUAAUUUUGCCAAAUGUCAAGGGAAAAAAAAAAGGCAAGCAUCAUGUUUGUAACCUGUUUUUAUACAUUAAAUAUGUACAAAAUUAGAAGUGCCCUGAAACAAAACACUUAACUUCAAGAUUAUAUUUAGUAAAAACCCCAUCAUUUACAUAUCUCUGUAAGUUCCAAUGUAACUUCUUACAAUCCCUCUCAUUACCAACAGAGGCAAUAAAGCUCCAGUGAAAUUGC